CCAGCACACGAGCCAUGUUGGCCGGCUAAUUGCGACGCGUGUAGACGACGUACACGGCCAGAUAUGUAGUAGCAGGGUGCGGUAUACAAAGGACCGUGUUGGCUACAGACACGACCAGAAGCUUUCGCAUCGCUGGUCGGUUCCACCUCCCACAAAUCCGCGCACCAUCGUCCUCGCAAAGACGCAUCGAAAGCACCGGAGCAUUUCUGCAACUCGCGGUAUAUAAAAGCUUCGGUGUAUGCCGAGGGGACUGCUUUUACGACGCCACGGUCUUAAUAAGCGAAAUAGACCUGUCUAUGCAACGUGCACUACGAUCCUUUCAUCCUUUUGAAAAACGAAAACGCAUGAAGAUAGAUAGAAGUCAAAGUAAUUGUACGAAAAGAAAAGGGUGGCAGCCAUCUCCCCAGCUUCCGGCAUUUUCUCGUUAACACGGUUCGAGGGAUCCCAUUGACACGCGAAAUUCGCCAUGGCAACACGACGACCCUUUGCUCGCUCUUUCCCUUCCAUCCUUUUGCGUCGUGCGAAUCGGCACCACAGGUCGACACUCAGACACGAGCCAUCCGAUUUAAAGGAAGUUUGACAAGCGACCAAGGAUUCUUCUCCUCGGUCAAACAAAGAGUUCGAUUUCACUCGAUCUGGCUAACUGGAAAGGCGAUGAAAGCGGAGUGAGAGGAAGCCGACUCGACUUAAAGAAGAAGAAGAAGAAGAAGAGGGACGAGGAAAAAGAAAAUUACAUCAGCUGCUUGGCAGCGAUCCCUUUCGUACCAUCCUAACCCCCGUUUCUUCUUCGCCCUUUUCUUGCUACGCGAGCCAGCUUCUACGAAAUUCAACCUUCUUCUUGUCCGUUUGCUACUUCUGGGAACCUCUAGCACGUUUUCGCCAGCAACCAACACACGGCUAACGAUCGCACACCUACCAAACCCACGCAAAACGAAUGCGAGAAAGUAUAGACACCGCGAAUGAAUUGCCUUGCAUCGUAACGUUGCGAAUAUAUGAAAUUCUCGGCUGUCGCUAGAGACUCGAGGAAAUCCACGCGAAGGUGAAAAUUGCGACGAGAUGCUGGAUGAAAAUUUUUUUCAACGGUAAAAUUUCAAUUCAACCAACAUCCAAGAGAAUUGGAUGCUACGAAGGAUCGACCCACCCUCUCGGAUCUGCGUACGUCGAAGCUGGUGAAAGGAAUGGAGAGAUGCACAAUCCGUCAGACUUUUAGCUCUUCAUUUCUAUACGAUAGAAAGAAAAAUUUGUGUCGCUUGCAGACAGAGGAUUCGCAC
rnacentral:misc_RNA from 1 species